GUGAAUCAUCGAAUUUUUGAACGCAAAUUGCACUCCUUGGUAUUCCGAGGAGUACACAUGCUUGAGGGUCAGUUGAAAAAAAAUCGUACAUCAUUGAUGUUGCGGAUCUGCGUAUUCCGUUUUUAUAAAUUGGUUACCUAAAUUUAAUAUGGUUAUAUAAUGUGAAGCGUACUAUGUAUAUAGUCGCUAAUCAUUUAUACUUAUUACAUUACAAAUAUACUAUAGUAUUUAGUUGCUGUAAAAAUUAUGAGAAUGACCUCAAGUC
rnacentral:misc_RNA from 1 species